rnacentral:rRNA from 1 species
GAUGAACGCCAGCUACAGGCUUAACACAUGCAAGUCGAGGGGAAACGACAUCGAAAGCUUGCUUUUGAUGGGCGUCGACCGGCGCACGGGUGAGUAACGCGUAUCCAACCUGCCCAUCACUUGGGAAUAACCUUGCGAAAGUAAGACUAAUACCCAAUGACAUCCCACGAAGACAUCUGAAUGGGAUUAAAGAUUUAUCGGUGAUGGAUGGGGAUGCGUCUGAUUAGCUUGUUGGCGGGGUAACGGCCCACCAAGGCAACGAUCAGUAGGGGUUCUGAGAGGAAGGUCCCCCACAUUGGAACUGAGACACGGUCCAAACUCCUACGGGAGGCAGCAGUGAGGAAUAUUGGUCAAUGGGCGAGAGCCUGAACCAGCCAAGUAGCGUGCAGGAUGACGGCCCUAUGGGUUGUAAACUGCUUUUAUAAGGGAAUAAAGUGGGUCUCGUGAGACUUUUUGCAUGUACCUUAUGAAUAAGGACCGGCUAAUUCCGUG